AUGCAAAACAUAUUACAUCACUUUCCCUUCAUGAAUCCUUCUCUCAUUUGUCUAUGUCUGUUAUUUUCCUUCAGAGCUUUACUGGACAAUGAAAGUCUGAUGGGGGAUUUCCCUUCAACAAAUCAGCUAAGGAGUACCUACACAUCUGAUGGAGUCCCCAGCUCUCGAGGGGUUAAGCAAAGCUUCCAGACACAGCUGGCUACCAGUCACAUGAUCAGUCCCUUCUCUACCAUCCAUAGAGCAAGCCCACGAUCCAAUGUAACAAUGAUGUCCGCAUCACCAAUCUGGACUCAAAACCAGGUAACCCUGAACGAAACACCUGAGAGUUGUCGAAAGACAGAGGAAGAGCAUGUUGACUUUGACUUAGGGUCCAACCGGCAGGUUAUUUGGUCAACGCCUUACCCCAAAGUACCACAGGAUGGAAUUUCAGUCGACCACUUCAGACCCCAAGAUGUCCAUGAAGAAGUCAACUAUGCUGAGCCUCUCUCACCUCCCACUGAAGAGGCAGGAGCUGAUGUUGUAUCUUGGCUUGGUUCUGACCAUAAGGAACAAUCCAUGUGGGAUUUAGAAAAGGAGGAAGAGGAUCAGAACAUAGUCAGAACCUGGGUUGCUAAAGACAAACCAGUUCUGGAACCUGCCAUGAGUCACCAGGUUGAGAUCAGCUUCAGUAUGCCAACUGUGUUCAGCACUGAUGCUCAAGAGCUCUACAGCCCUUCAGUGAGGGAUGAGAGAGCAGGUUCAGUGACAGGGGCACAUUCUGCUUUCUCGGCAAAUGAUGAUAAUGAUGUACCUUUUGAAAUGUCUUCUGAAAAGGAGGAACCUCUACUAGAUCUGCCUUACGGUCCCAUGAUUGCAUUGGAGGAAAGAGAUCUCGAAACAGCAAGGAAAGACGCUGAAUGGGUGGGGAAAGAAGGCUUGGAGUCUGAAACUAAAUCAGUGCUAGAACCUGCAUUUGAGACCUUCACAAGCAGUCAAGCUUUUGAGUACAACAAGCCAAAAGAGUUCAACCAAGAGGACAAUAUGUCAUAUGCAUCUACUCAAGCCUCCCACGGUUCAGAAGAGGCAUUUCACCAUGUUAAAAGAGUGGAGGAAGAUGUUAUUAAUCUCACAAAAGAGGAUGAUGAAAACUACAUGUCUAACAAAGAUGAGGAGCAAUUGGAAGAUGAAUUGCGCCCCUAUGGGUAUGGUAAGGAUGAUUGUGAAAGAUUGGCAGGGUUCAAUAAGGAAAAUUGUGUGACAGAAAGAAUCGAUAAGUUCAACCGAGAGGUGAUUAUCUCAUAUGAAUCUGCUCAAGCUUCUCACUGGUCAGAAGAGGUAUUUCAUCAUGUUGAAAGACUGGAGGAAGGUGAUAUAAAUUUCACAAAAGGGGAUGAUGAAAAUGAUAUGUAUAAUAAACGUGAGAUGCAAUAUGCAUUGCACCCCAAUGGGGAUGUAAAUGAUGAAUGGGAUAGAGUGGGAGGAUACACUGAAGAGAAUGGAAUUAGAGAAAGAAUGGAUGAAGGAAAGGAUCAAGAAGGAAAGGAUCAUAUGAAAGAGGAAGAGAUGUGGAAUAACAGAGAAACCCAACCAAAUCAGUCUGAUCAAGAACAUAUACCUUCAAAUGUAGAGAAACUGAAUCAAUUUGAGCAAGAGCAUAUACCUUUAGGCAGAGAGAAACGGAAUCUAUCCGACAAUGACAAAGAGGAUCAUGAUGAGGCAAACUACUGUCAAAAUACUUCUGUUUCAUGGAGGGCUGAGCUAGAAGGUGACAGCUACGCUCAGGACAACACACUGGCCGACACACACCCCCUGAUCCGUUACAAGAGUGACGAGACGGAUGCCAACACUCAGGCUUCACACAUGGGAGAAAGUGACUCCAGUGAUGGUGAACAGGACAGGGAGGUUUGCCAGACAGGAUCAGGCACCUGGGGCGAAGGCAAGUCCAAACAGUUUGACACCAUGGAGGAUCUGUAUGAAGAGUCAGAAGGGGAUGUCAUAGAUCAGGAACGUAACAUGGGCUCCACUCACCAAGACGACGUGGAUGCUAGCCAAACAAAGGAGCAUGCUACACAGGAGAACGAUGAGGAGAAUGCAGUAGAUCAGUUGAUUCAGGAGGCAGAAGAGGAACAAUCCUAUGAGGAACUUACAGAACCUGGAGAGUACUCCAUGAUGUGCUCUGAUGAGGACAAUAAUGAAGAAAGAAUUGAUAGAUUGGUGGAGCAAGAGUUAGAGAAUUUAUCUAUAUCCAGUUACAGUGAACACUUUAAUGGGCAGAUGAUUGAGAGCGAGUCAGUACUGAGUCUUCAAAUUGUGUCUCACACGGAACUUUCCCAGACACAAGACAUAUUAUACAGUGAGGAGGUAGAGCAGAUACACUCAGUAAGACUGAAUCAAUCUGAACAAGAGCAUACGACCACAGGCGGAGAGAAACUGAAUCAAUCUGAACAAGAGCACACGACCUCAGGCGGCGAGGAACUGAAUCAAUCUGAGCAAGACCAUAUGACCUCAGGCGGCGAGAAACUGAAUCAAUCUGAGCAAGAGCAUACGACCUCAGGCGGCGAGAAACUGAAUCAAUCUGAGCAAGAGCAUAUGACCUCAGGCGGAGAGAAACUGAAUCAAUCCGUGCAAGAAUAUAUCAAUUCAGGCAGAGAGAAACUGAAUCAAUCUGAACAAGAGUAUAUACCCUCAGACGGAGAGAAACUGAAUCAAUCCGAGCCAGAGUAUAUAACUUCAGGAGAAGAGAAAAUGUAUCAAUCCGAGCAAGACUAUAUACCCUCAGACGAAGAGAAACUGAAUCAAUCCGAGCAAGAGAAUAUUCCUUUAAGCGGAGAGAAACUGAAUGAAUCUGAACAAGAGUAUUUACCCUCAGAUGGAGAGAAAAUGAAUCAAUCCGAGCCAGAGUACAUAACUUCAGGCAGAGAGAAACCGAAUCUGUAUGCGCAAGAACAUAUACCCUCAGACAGAGAGAAACUGAAUCUCACUGAGCAAGAUAAUAUACCUUUAGGCGGAGAGAAACUGAAUCAAUCUGAGCCAGAGUACAUAACUUCAGGCAGAGAGAAACCGAAUCUGUAUGCGCAAGAACAUAUACCCUCAGGCAGAGAGAAACUGAAUCAAUCUGAGCACGAGCAUAUACCUUCAAAAGGAAAGAAACUGAAUCAGUCUGAACAAGAGUAUAUACCCUCGGGCGGAGAGAAACUGAAUCUAUAUGAGCAAGAACCCAUAACAUCAGACAGAGAGAAAAUGAAUCAAUCCGAGCCAGAGUACAUAACUUCAGGCAGAGAGAAACCAAAUCUAUAUGCGCAAAAACAUAUACCCUCAGACAGAGAGAAACUGAAUCUCACCGAGCAAGAUAAUAUACCUUUAGGCGGAGAGAAACUAAAUCAAUCCGAGCCAGAGUAUAUAACUUCAGGCGGAGAGAAAAUUAAUCAAUCCGUUCCAGAGUAUAUACCCCAAGGCAAAGAGAACAUGAAUCAAUCUGAGCAAGAGAAUAUAACUUCUGGCGGAGAGAAACUGAAUCUAUAUGCGCGAGAAAAUAUACCCUCAGACAGCGAGAAAAUUAAUCAAUGCGAGCAAGAGAAUAUACCUUCAGACAGAGAGAAACUGAAUCAAUCUGAGCCAGAGUAUAUACCCUCAGGUGGAGAGGAACUGAAUCAAUCUGAGCCAGAGUAUAUACCAUCAGGUGGAGAGGAACUGAAUCAGAUACGAGCCAGAGUAAUACCAUCAGGUGGAGAGGAACUGAUCAAUCUGAGCCAGAGUAUAUACCAUCAGGUGGAGAGGAACUGAAUCAAUCUGAGCCAGAGUAUAUACAAUCAGGUGGAGAGGAACUGAAUCAAUCUGAGCCAGAGUAUAUACCAUCAGUGAGAGGAACUGAAUCAUCUAAGCCAGAGUAUAUACCAUCAGGGGAGAGGAACUGAAUCAAUCUGAGCCAGAGUAUAUACCAUCAGGUGGAAGGAACUGAAUCAAUCUGAGCCAGAGUAUAUACCAUCAGGUGGAGAGGAACGGAAUCAAUCUGAGCCAGAGUAUAUACCAUCAGGUGGAGAGGAACUGAAUCAUCUGAGCCAGAGUAUAUACCAUCAGGUGGAGAGGAACUGAAUCAAUCUGAGCCAGAGUAAUACCAUCAGGUGGAGAGGAACUGAAUCAAUGCUGACCAGAGUAAUAUCCCUCAGGUGGAGAGGAACUGAAUCAAUCUGAGCCAGAGUAUAUACCAUCAGUUGGAGAGGAACUGAAUCAAUCUGAGCCAGAGUAUAACCAUCAGGUGGAGAGGAACUGAAUCAAUCUGAGCCAGAGUAUAUACCAAGUGGAGAGGAACUGAUCAAUCUGAGCCAGAGUAUAUACCAUCAGUGUGGAGAGGAACUGAAUCAAUCUGAGCCAGAUUAUAUACCAUCAGGUGGAGAGGAACUGAAUCAAUCUGAGCCAGAGUAUAUACAAUCAGUGGAGAGAGAACUGAAUCAAUCUGAGCCAGAGUAUAUACCCUCAGGUGGAGAGAAAUGAAUCAAUCUGAGCCAGAGUAUAUACCAUCGGUGGAGAGGAAACUGAAUCAAUCUGAGCCAGAUUAUACCAUCCAGGUGGAGAGGAACUGAAUCAAUCUGAGCCAGAGUAUAUACCAUCAGGUGGAGAGGAACUGAAUCAAUCUGAGCCAGAGUAUAUACCCUCAGAGGUUAUGUAUUCAAUGCACUCUAGGAUUCCAAUGACACCUGAACACACAUCUCUUAGAGAAAGUUCAGCAGAAAUAUCCAAAGCAGAAUAUUUGGCUCAAGGUAAGGUCUUCAGUGAGGAACUGGGAACUGAAGCUGUACCAGACAAAAUAGAAGGAGAGGAUGACCAGAACCUUUCUAUGCUGACUCAUGAAGACUUUACUGAAAGCCAUUCUACCCACAGCAGUUUAAACAGCAGGCCUGAGAGUCAAACCAACAUGAACAACUCGGAUAUAGAAGAGUCCAACAGCACAGAUGAUGAGUCUCCAAAUGCAAGCCAGUAUUUGCAAUGUGCCAACAAAGCAAAUCUAACUGCAGAUCAGGUAGACUUCUUAGAUGUGGCGGUCUCUCACUAUGAGGAUUGCAGUGCUCUUAUAGAACAUUCUGCAGAGGAGGUCACUAGCUAUCAGGCAAGUCAUGAAUGUCUUCAGACAGACAAAUGGGAAGUCUUAGAAAGUCCAAACAAACACCUGGAAUCUGGAGAUCCUUUUGCAGGUCACAAGAGAGACUCGGAGAGAUCAUCCAAAACUGACAGCAAAGGCCGAGACCUCCACAGCUUCCUCAGCUCUGGUGUACACAGCAACUUCUGGGGUUCCAAUCUGGAAACAGGAGCCUCCUAUCAACCGGACGAGCCAUAUGACCAUGUGACCAAGCUACCCAAUCAGAACCUAGCCUUGGCUGAUAACCUAUCCUGGGUGGAUUUGGAAUCCACAGGCGGCCAAUUGGAACAUAAAGAUGGACAGUGACACACCUAAAGCUUCCACCCUUGAAGAAGAGGACAAACAGAUGCCCUCACAGGUGAAGCAGCUGGUGUGUAGAGAUGUAGUAGAGGGUGUGAAUGUUACUUCUGAAGGUUCUGGAGAUGAGGGAGACUCCAGGUCAUCUGGGGAAGAACAGGAACAAUUUCAGCAUGGUUUCUAUAAGGAGUAAAGUAGAAGUAACAAGUGUUAUUGAGAGUGUAAUACUAUUUACACUUUACAGGCUUUGAAUAUGAGCAUUGAUUCACAUUGAUCCUUACAGUGAAAAGUAAAUGAAAGGAUAAUAUGUCACAGAAUGUCAUGACAAUUCAGUGCUCUCUGGAAUCCUUGGGAUGUUCCUACCCUAAACCCCAACCUUAACCCCUACCCUACCCUUACCUUAACCCUAAAUAGAACCAUAACCCUUACCUACACCAUUUAAAAUGUCAACUUCAAUGGGGUAGGGACGUCCCAAGGAUGCGAGAUAGCAUGGACCGUCAAAUAUUUAUGCUGUUUUCAAAAACCAAAGUUGUGCCUUGGUGCACACCCUGCUGACACUAACCACCAGUGUACCUACUCCAUUUCAAGACAUUGAGGGCCAUUUUUGUAAGUUUUACAAAUGUAUGUUUGAAUAGCCAUUUUUCUAUUCUUUGGAGAACAAAAGUAACUUAGUUAAAAACCAAAUAAAGAUAAACAUUUGAAAGUCAAAGCAUUCUUGAUUUGAUUGCACUGAUUGAAGGAAAUCAAUUAGAGAAAAAGUGAGAACCCAGGUAUUUCAAUGCACAAGACCUGGGAGCUUGUUUUUCUAGUGGCAACUUUAAUCCUAACAUCGUAAGCAAGUUUAUUUGAUAAGGACUCCAGUUGAUAUAUACAGUACCCUCAGAAAGUACUCAUUCCCCAUGACUUACUCCAAUGAGAAGUGUAAUUUAUGAUUAUAAUUUGAAUUACAACUCAAACACUACAAGCAGCAGUGCAGUGGUUUGAAAUCCUAGAAGAACAGCUUGCCUUCAUUUUAAUAAAUAUAACUAACAGACAAUGAAACAACAUGGUGCCAUAUUAGCUAUGCUUUGUUAACGAUUACAGCAAAAAACACUUGUGUUGUUGUUUGGCUAGUGUUCUCUGUAGAAAUGCACACAAAAAAAUGUACAUGGAAAAAUAAAACUAAUUGACAAAUAUGUUUAUAAUUGUAUAUUUGCUUAAGAACUUUUUAUGACUUAUUUCAUGAUGCAGUGUUGAUAUACUCUACAUUGAAAUAUUUACAUUUUAUAAAUAAAGCUUUUGUAAAAUUAAGGGCGAAAAACAAAGAAAUAUAAACAAAUAAACACACUGGUCCAUUUAAAAAAAAAAAAUUUAACAAGACAAGUCAGUUAAGAAACUGUCAGUUAUUUUACAAUGACGGUCUAUUAUCCAGUAAUCUCUUCUGAUAGAGGAAAGACUAGCGCACAACGGGUUCUGAGAAUAAAUAUCCAGUGUCUUGACAAAGUUCUUUAAAGACAGAGGAAAGCGUACCCUUAGACCAAGCCAAGAAAACAGCUGGCUUCUCCCUCAGCAUCUAUCUGUUUCCUCUGUGUAUUACAUUAAAGUGAGUGAGACCCAGGGGCGGUGUGGGAGGGGAGACUUGGCACCAUCCCAGCUUUACUGACCUCAAAGCAGGCUAGCUAACAAAGCCUCACCGGGCCCUCCAUAACAAACAACCAUCCCAUGGGAAGACCGAGGGAGAAAAUAGGCAACAAGGAACAAUGGAUGACCUCCCCUCCUCCUCUUCCCGCCUCACGGCCUUCUUUCCCCCUUUUUUUGUCAUUCAUUAGUCAGUCUUCAGAACAAUGGUGUCUAUUUUAGCUGCCGGUUGCCUGCUCACUGCCCAAAUCUGUGCAAUGACUGAUUGAAUAAAGGGGGAAACCACAGCCAUUCACAAAGAGAAGGGCUGGGUGCUGGAAUGGCAUUACGGCAGCUGUCUGGCAUGCCCUUAACGUGCUCUUAACGUCUAUGGCUCCUACUCAGCCUUGUAACUAGCUAUGACAAUACAACUUUAUAUAUUCCGUUUGGGGAAUAAGAAUAAACUAACUAGGUUAUUUCGGCAUAAGAUGAUCUACAGUAUAUGAAAUAACAAUACUUAUUUAAAGAGAUGUUGUGGAUGGACAAGCUAUUUCUAUCCCAGGAACACAUGCCCAGUGCUGUUAAUAGAAGAAUAGUUUCCCGACAAACAGCCAGGAUGACCACAUCUGAUGCAAGACGCUGAAAGUGCUUGGUCACUAUGUCCGGCUGCGACCAGAGGCUCCAUUUCAGCUGGGCCUUUCUGGCUAACCUGGGGGGAGGGGCUCAGCUGCAGGGCUGGGGUGUGUGUGUGACUUUGACACAGGAGGGGUGUAAAACUAUACCAGCUCUCUACAGGGAGUGUGUUUGUUCUCCUUCGACAACCAUCUGUCAUCCAUUAUCCCCUUUCUAUUGAUUUACUCCAUGUGACGGAAGACCUGUAAAAUCAGACAGAGGAAUGGGUGGCUCCUUGACAGGCCUUCAUUUUCUCUUUUGUUCUAAAUUUACGACUGGCCCACCCCCUGUUAACAAUGGGCUAUAAGGAAGAGA
ensembl:lncRNA